rnacentral:rRNA from 1 species
UACGUAGGGUGCAAGCGUUGUCCGGAAUUAUUGGGCGUAAAGAGCUCGUAGGCGGUCUGUCGCGUCGGCUGUGAAAUCCCGAGGCUCAACCUCGGGUCUGCAGUCGAUACGGGCAAACUAGAGUAUUGCAGGGGAGACUGGAAUUCCUGGUGUAGCGGUGGAAUGCGCGGAUAUCAGGAGGAACACCGAUGGCGAAGGCAGGUCUCUGGGCCGCAACUGACGCUGAGGAGCGAAAGCAUGGGGAGCGAACAGG